GGAGAUAUAUAUAUAUAUAAAAUUAUGACUUUGCGUUGUGUGGCAGGAACCAAUACAAUAUUCUAAAGCAAUUCUUCUCUAACUAAAAAAAAAAAAAUAUUUUCUUUAGAUUCACCUUGUAUUACUUAAAUAAAUUCAUUUGAAAAGGAAAAUUUACAUCCCUUAAUAGAAGAUGAUGGUGAAAAUAACCCUAGAAAAGCAAACUGGCAUCAUUAGAUUUUCACCAGGUCCAGCCCAAGGGUCCAAGCCUGGGGUCUGUUCUGUCUGUGCUAAAGAGACAUGGAGAGGUUCCAGGGACAAACAGAAUGAGAUAGACUUUCUCCUGGUCAAAUUUAAAGAAAAAAAUGUGGGAAAAGAAUGACUAAGAGGUCAUCUCACUGUUUAAUGCCGCAUCCUGUACGGCCUAACGUCCUCUUGUGGGAGGCGCCACUGGAAAUACCAUCUCUGCGCCCGGACCUGGUCAUGGAGACCACUGAUGGCAUGUGCUGAGUUCUAAUCACGGGAGGCAAAACGCUGCCUCUGACCUGCUGUGAGCCAGCCUCUACCAGUGUUCUGAAAUCACCUAAUGACAAGUUGAUGGCCUGUGCAGGGAAUUAUUACUGUUAAUAAAAUACUAAUCAUAGUAAUGGGGAUGAAUUUGGGCUGAUGAGACCUUAGUGCCCGAAGGCCGCCAAGCAUCUUUGAAAAGUAUCGUUAAAAUAAUAAUUAAAAUUGCAGCAAGAGUGACUCAAGGUCAUGAAAGCAAGUGAGGCCCUGUGGAAGAGGCCGCAGAGAAAGUCUUGGGAUCCCACCUGCCCUGCUCCAGGCAGAGGCCUGCAAGAGGCUCUUGAAGAUGAGAUCAACAGAGUUGGAAAUUUGUUGGAGGUGUUGAGGCCCCUAAUGAGAUGAUGACUUUUAAAGAUUAAUUAAUGGCGGCGCUCAAUCUAUGUUGCUGUGCUUGGACUUUCCCUAGUUAUGGGGAGCAGGGGCUGCUCUUCGCUGCCACGCAUGGGCUUCGCAUUUCGGGGGCUUCCCUUGCGGGGAACAGGCUCUAGGGUGCCCGGGUUUCCUUAGUUGUGGCCUGUGGUCUAUGAUGUGGGCUCAGUAGCCUGGUGUAUAGGUUUCAUUGCUCCGUGGCACGCAGGAUCCUCCUGGACCAGGGACUGAACUCACUGUCCACGGCACUAGCAGGCGGACUCCUAACCGCUGGGCCACCAGGGAAGUCCCAGGAUGAUGACUUGACGCGGGGCCUCUCCCUGGGGGCUCCUGGACCUUGCGGGCCUCAUCUGAGUAAUGCAGAUAACGACACCUUAUGUGCAGGAGGAGGGGCUGGACCGUAAGUGCCCUGGCGGUCCUCGUCCCCUGCUGCCAGCUCUUCUCAGCUGGGAGACGGAUCCUGACGCCCUGGUCAUUUCAUCAGCCAGGUGCCCUCCACCUGGGAGAAAACACUGAAGGGUUGCAAACUUGCUCCCUGGGGGCCAGAUCUAGCCCUUAGAUGUAUUUUUUUCUCACCAGUAAAGUUAAAAUUUAGGAUACAACCUUUGGGACUUAUUACAUAUUAUGAAGUAACGUAGCAGACAGAAGCAUGCACGGCAGGUACCUUUAUAGCUCAGUGAACGGCCACACAGCAAACAACUGCAGCACUGGCCAGGCCAAGAGCAAGAGCCCCGCAGGCACCCUGGACGUCCUUGGGUCUCCUCCAAUCGGUUGGCACCAUUAAAAAUUUUUUAAGUGAUUGCGUGAUACUGUUUUUUUUCCUGACACCAAACUGUGUGCUUUUCUCCCAUACCAAUUAUACAAUUCUUCAACACCAACUAAGCGUCCCACAGUUCAAUUCAGUUCUGACAUCAGAAUUAGCACAGACUCCACAGGUUCAGGGCACGGACCGCACAAGACUGUCCCCGUUUCAGAGGACAAUCGCGAAUUCCAGGGGCCACCUGCGCUUCUCCCCAGCCAGGUAUAAGUCCGGGUUUAAAUCCACAGCCUCCUCCUUAGGUGGAAGUCACGCGGUCACUGUUAGGACUGAGUAAGUGCUGAGUGGAAGCUCCAUAAAUGGUUCGUCACUGCACCCAGCCCAAGCAGAGGUGUUGCAAGAAACCGGGGGGUCCCAUCUCUGCCUCCUUCAAAACCAAGUUCAAGGCUACCUCCUUCAGGAAGCCUCUCCGGCUUCCCAGCGGCCCCACUGCCCUCGUCUUUGCUUUCGAAUUCCCCGGACUUUGGUUUAAGGACAGCAUCCCCUCCUGCCGCUGCUGCCCCUCCCAGCCUCCGGGAGCACUCUGCCCCUUGUCAUUCAUCACUUUUGACGCUCUGUGGGUGUCGCUGGGUCGCAGAGCCUCCUUGGGGGCGGGGUUGUGGGAGAGAGUAGACAGUAGGGUCUACAGGUUCUGCAGACCCUCUCCCACCCCACGCCUGCUCCGGGGCUCAGCAGAGGGCAUGCCUUGCUGGUGGUGGACUUCGGUCUGUCUCUUGUCCCUUCUUGGCAAGGAAAUAUAAGAGGAUGACUUUUCUUUUGCCAGAGAAUAUAACUGGGGGUUGCACACCUGUCUCGUUUAACAGGCCCCAAGGUUUUUUUUUUUCCUAAUGGAGAGCCUGGUGGGCUGCCGUCUCUGGGGUCGCACAGAGUCGGACACGACUGACGUGACUUAGCAGCAGCAGCAAAAAGAAACCAAAACACAAGGUACAGUUUUAUUUUGG
ensembl:lncRNA